rnacentral:rRNA from 1 species
CAGCAGCCGCGGUAAUACCGGCGGCCCGAGUGGCGGUCACUAUUAUUUGGCUUAAAGCGUCCGUAGCCGGGUUGGGAAGUCCUCCGGGAAAUCUGGCCGCUUAACGGUCAGAAUGCCGGAGGAUACUCCCAGCCUAGGGAGCGGGAGAGGCCGAGGGGAUUCCCGGGGUAGGGGGGAAAUCCUAUAAUCCCGGGAGGACCACCUGUGGCGAAGGCGCUCGGCUGGAACGCGUCCGACGGUGAGGGACGAAGGCCAGGGGAGCAAACCGGAUUAGAUACCCGGGUAGUCCUGGCUGUAAACGAUGCGGACUUUGUGUCGGACAAGCUAUGAGCUUGUCCGGUGCCGGAGGGAAACCGUUAAGUCCGCCGCCUGGGGAGUACGGCCGCAAGGCUGAAACUUAAAGGAAUUGGCGGG